UACGAAGGGGGCUAGCGUUGCUCGGAAUCACUGGGCGUAAAGCGCACGUAGGCGGCUUUCUAAGUCAGGGGUGAAAUCCUGGAGCUCAACUCCAGAACUGCCUUUGAUACUGGAGAGCUUGAGUCCGGAAGAGGUGAGUGGAACUCCGAGUGUAGAGGUGAAAUUCGUAGAUAUUCGGAAGAACACCAGUGGCGAAGGCGGCUCACUGGUCCGGUACUGACGCUGAGCUGCGAAAGCUAGGGGAGCAAACAGG
rnacentral:rRNA from 1 species